GGGCACCCUCCGGCGGGCGGCGGGGCGAGCAGCUCUGAGCACAGCGAGCGCACAGCGCGGCGGCCGGUCCGCGCCCUUAACCCUUCGGUCCGGAAAUCUGCUUUGGGUAUGGAACUACCCAGCUUUACCCUGGGUAGACGAUCCGCGCACUCCUCUCGCCGCUAAUUCGGGAUCAUUAAUUUCAUCGGAAAUGAGGCAACCAGUGUAGGAGAUAGAGAAAGCAAACCGAGCAUCAGAUGGCAGUUCUCGUGAAUCCGCGCUGGAGAACUUCCUCUGGACUCAAAUUUAAGUGCGGUUCUCGACUCCUCGCCACCCCGUCCCUCCGUGGGUACCACCGCCAGGCGUUAGCUGGAAGGGAAGGACUCUUCUUUGGAGGGGUGGUACCUGGCCAACAGGUGUGGCACCUGGAGGAAGAGAAGGCACAGCCAUGCUAAAGGGAGCUCAGUGCGGCGUUCUCCUGGCUGCAGAUAAUUCUGGAAGACCGGUAGGUGUCGGGGCAGCAUUUGACCUCUUUCAGGUGCUUGGAACCAACUGUCUAGAAAUACGAUCCUUCCAAUGUAAGUUUUUCUCUGGAAGCCUCCAUUUGACUGGAAGCUGUAUUUGAGAAACCUUUUGGCUGAAUUUACUUAUGACCUAACGGUUAGUCACCAACUGAAGCAGGAUACAGAAUCACCAAGAGAAAUGUGUCAGCUUUUAAACAACUGUAUUGUAGAGCCAAGGUGCUGCAGAAAUAAAAAUCAGCACCCUAGCUAGGAAGGUGUAGAGCCCCGGAAAUCAUUUUUUUUCUCACAUUUUGAAAUACCAUGCACAUAUACAUAGCUAUUUUGAAAGAACUACUACUACUGUUUACUCGUUUCUACAACUUUUUUUUUUUUUUCACUUAAAAAUCAAUGAUGGUUACAGUUUAAGCCCCAGGUUGGUCUAAAGUGACAUUGUUGGUCUCAUUACAGCCUCUAGUGGACAAUUAAAAUCAGUUUCCUGAAAAGGCUCUGCCUGGCGUUGUGUUCCUUGACGAGCAUUAUCAAGGUGAAGGUUAAUAUCUCAGAACGUAACCGGGUAGUAAUACAUCUUUCCCCCCUUGGCAGUGCCGGUUUCUGAAAGGAGCAGGAGCUGCUAGCUCUGCACGAGAAAGACGUAUGCUUUUUGAGGCAGGUAUUAUUAUUACUGGCCUGUGAAUAAACAGAGAACUUCUGCUCUUCAUUUCAGUUUCAGACAGCUUUCAUAAAAAAAUUAAUUCAUCUAAAAUAUUUUUAUAACAGAAAAUACUGGUUGCCAUGUUUUUGGCUUAACUGAGAUGUUUUCAUUCCAACUCCUAAUCUGCAGACUGUCCCAUCCACCUCCACCCUAUUUUUAGACAUUUUACAUUUAGAGAAUUUGGGGUUAAAAAAAAGAGCAAUAUUUUCAUUAUUAAACUGAUGCAGUUAAUUUAUUUUAACAACCUUCAACACAUUAAAACACAUAACUCAGAUUAGAGUUAGUCAAUUAAUUUAAAUGUUCCCUCAAGGAAGCUAUAUACGUUUAUUACCCAAACAGUAAGAACAAUUAAUAAGAACUGUGUCAUUUACUUACUUAGCCAUUAAGGUUAAAGCCAGAAACUGCCAUUAAAAUUUGUAACUAUUUCUUCCUGCAAGGUCCAACAUAAACAUAAUACUUAUGAUACAGUUUCAUUACCUUUAGUACUGAAAUGUUGUAGUUUCAGAUGGCAAAACUUUAAAUGUACAGUCACAAAUAAUUCUUUAAAAACAAUACUUUCUCAUGCAAAAAAAA